rnacentral:rRNA from 1 species
GUAGCCGGCCGGAUAAGUCUCUUGGGAAAUCUGGCAGCUUAACUGUCAGGCUUUCAGGAGAUACUGUCUGGCUCGAGUCCGGGAGAGGUGAGAUGGUACUUCAGGGGUAGGGGUGAAAUCUUGUAAUCCUUGAAGGACCACCAGUGGCGAAGGCGUCUCACCAGAACGGACCUGACGGCAAGGGACGAAAGCUAGGGGCACGAACCGGAUUAGAUACCCGGGUAGUCCUAGCCGUAAACGAUACUCGCUAGGUGUCGGCAACGGUGCGACCGUUGUCGGUGCCGUA